rnacentral:misc_RNA from 1 species
AAGGAGUCUAACAUGUGUGCGAGUAUUUGGGUGGCAAGCCUUUAAGCGAAAUUAAAAUGAAGCGUGGGAGCCGGACAUUCUGACGCACCUUGUGCAGUUCUUGAUAUCUCCUGAUGUAUUUUUGUAGGAGCACAAUUGUUGGGACCCGAAAGAUGGUGAACUAUGCCUGAAUAGGGAGAAGCCAGAGGAAACUCUGGUGGAGGCUCGUAGCCGUACUGACGUGCAAAUCGAUGGUCAAAUUUGGGUAUAGGGGCGAAAGACUAAUCGAACCAUCUAGUAGCUGGUUCCUUC